UAAUAGAUAGGUGCCAGAAAAAUCAAUGCGCUGAAAAUUCAUGAGCCAACUUUCAACUAAAAUCCACAGGAGAAUAACCUAAAUGAAAUGAAAUCCGAAGGUAACAGAAACAUCAGAAAGAAAUAUAAAAUAGUCAGAUUUUCAGAAAGCUAUUUGCCUACGUGGGUAUCGUUCAUGAAGUAACAUGCAAAUUAUGAUCAGGCAUGCCUACUUCUAUUUGAUUUAAGAGGUUUUAUAAUGUGUUUGACGUGAACUUCACAUAUGAAAUGUCUGACUUGAAUGCUUUUCUUUGCAGCCUACUUCUAUUCGCUUCAACUUGGAUGCUUGUCUGUAUAAAUCCAGUGUUGCAAGAGAUUGGAGCUUUCUUUCCAGCUCAAUGCAGAUAUGGUGUUUGAAAAGAAAGCUAAGCGUAGCUAUGAGAAGGAUAUAUCAGCUUUCAAAGGCACCAGAGUUUCUAAUGACAAUGUAUUUGUUCGUCGAGAGGAUGAUCAAGGGACUGUGAAUGCUGAAGAAGAAAUCCCAAGUUUUGGCUUCCAGAGGAUUCAUUUCAGAUCCUUAAACUGAGCAGUGAGAAGCAUGUUGAUCAGUGUGUGUAUUGGGGAAGGGGGAAGGACGUUUCCGGAAUAGUUCUCCAUUGUCCUAGUGAUUUUUUCUGCAAAUCUCCUCAAUACUCUGUUGGUUUCCAUCCCCUGCUUUGUGCAACACAUCUACUCGUUGCGUUGUUCAUAUGUUUUCAAGACAGAUGGACAUGAAAGUGGUAGCCAAAUGGAGGUAGCGGCAUUGACAAUCAAGCCAUCAGUUUUUCCUCCUACGGUGCUUGUGAAAACGGAGAAUCGGAUUUCAAUAUUCUUGUUUUCAGGGAGAUGAGAAUCUUCUUAUGUUUGAGAAGAUGCAUCUCUCGAGCCAGAUCUUUAGCUACCUUCGCAGCUCUACCCCGACUCCUGAGUACUCAGAGAGUUGAAUUACUCAUAUCCCUUUGAUAACGGCUACAAUGGACUGAAUUGCAGAUGACCCAUUUUGUACUUCCUGGAAGCCGGUUGCGUCUUGUAUUUGUGUUGGUUUUUGAAGCAGCUAGUGGCCUGGCCAUGGAAGCCCUUUGCUGUUUUUUUGGAAAGCAUGGAAGCUCAUUUGUAAUCCUUUAUUUUGUGCUUGCCUCAGGUUUACUGGAGCACAUGUCUCCAAUGAGGAUGAAAACUGUUCUUGUUUUGAUCUCCAUUCCUCAGGCCAAACUAGCGCACAUGGUAAUUGACCUCUAGAUUUACUGAAAACUUGUGGUUGUUAGCACAAGGCUGCCUCUGUUUUGGUUUUCCGCAUGGUAUAAGCUUGGAUGCUGUUCCUCCUUUUUUCUUAUGGGCAAGUUACUCUAGUUAAUAGUCUAAAAUCGAUGGCGAACACUAUCAUAUGUUUUCAUUUUCUGUGACUUUGAAUUCCUGAUGUCCCUGCACCACACCAAACCAUCCUAGAAUCUGUUUCGAAGAUGACGACAAUUUGUGCCCAAAACACUUUCGAAAAUAUUGAUUUGUUUCAGUUCAACCAAAUAAUAUUC